AGAGAAGUUCAUACGGGUGGAAUAACCGAGUGGGGAGCACUGGUUAAUGAUGGCGUUGAGAGUGAUGCGCAGUGCAACAUUUGUAGCACACCAAUUAUCUUUGCCGUUGUCACUGCCUAAUUGGGAUAAACCAUUUAGAGCGAAAGAUUAGAAGUGAUACAUCAGAGAUCCUGGAUGAGACCAUUCCGCUCAUUAAAGACAAGGUGAUGGAAAUGAACCACAUCUAUGCCAAAGUCGAUAAAUUAGAGUUGGCUUUCCCUUAUGGCUCAAAUUGCAACUGAAGCUGAACACAUGUAAGUUUUAGGUCAA